GAUCCUGGCUCAGGAUGAACGCUGGCGGCGUGCCUAACACAUGCAAGUCGAACGGACUUUUCAUGAAGCCUAGCGAUUGAAAAGUUAGUGGCGGACGGGUGAGUAACGCGUGGGUAACCUGCCUUGUACUGGGGGACAACAGUUGGAAACGACUGCUAAUACCGCAUAAGCGCACAGCUCCGCAUGAAGCGGUGUGAAAAACUCCGGUGGUACAAGAUGGACCCGCGUCUGAUUAGCUGGUUGGUG
rnacentral:rRNA from 1 species